rnacentral:lncRNA from 1 species
CUUGGAACACUGAACGAAAACUCCGGUCGCACAUUGAAUGAUUUGUAAUUCACAUGAUUAUAAAACUUCACAUUCCUCAUUUUGAAUGAUUAUGAAAGAAUAUGCUGUAUCCACUGUCUGUUGAACAAAAAUCAUCCAAUUCAGAGAUGAAUUUUAGAUCAUAAUAGAAUGGUAUUAUGCAGCUAAUCGAACAAUGAUAACACAUAUGAAUAGAAUGCAAUUUAUGACGGAUUUUAAUUUCUCCCAUGUCCCAAACCGAAAAUCAUUCAAUAACUGUCUGAAGUAUCAGACGAAAAGGGGAUGGUCAAAUGUCAAAUCAAUCUUCUAAAUCUUAACGUAAACAUGGUGUCGGCAGCGUGGUUUUUCAAGAGUUUCUGGGUGAAUUUUACAGGUCGCUAAUAUGCAAGUAUUAUGAUUCCAUGGAGCUCAGCGAAAUGGUGUUCGGCAGGUUGGCAUUUGUUCCUGAAGACUGGUGAAUAACAUUUAAUAACCUCAUUAAGGAAAUAAAUAAUAAUGUGCAUUCAGCAACAGU